GUCCAGUUAUGGAGGAGAGCUCAGGGCCGCCAGCCCCCUGGAACUGAGUCCCAGAAGGGCACCUUGGGGACAUGCAUCUUGGCUGAGGGCACGGGGCAUCUGCACGUGAGGGCACCGACUUCCUUGGGCCAGUAUGAGGACACUGAUGAGCAGAGGAUCCCACAGAGCUCCCGGGAUUGCUGACCUGUCCCCCACCCUGGUCCCAGCAGCAGCCUGCACCCACAGGUCCUUCUCUGUGGCACCAGCAAACUUGGCAUCUCCUGCCCGCCCAGCAGAUGGCAGAAGGUUACUUCAUCAGGCGUCUCCCCAGCCCUCCACCUGGCGGAGGAAGGCCAACCUGGCCCACGGCCUCCCCGUCCUCCCCAGCCUGCGAUCACCCACCAGCCGUGGAAGGGGCCAGGAAGGAGUUUCCAGCUCCUGGUGGCACCAGCAGCUGGAGUAGAGUCCACGGGGUUGUCUCUGCCUACGCAGCACCUCCUGGGGACUUGACGGACAUUACGUUCCACAGGGUCCGUCAGGAGAGAACGGGCAGCUUCACUGUGUGCAGUCUACGGGGGGCUUCAUUUCUUCCACCAAGGUCUUGUAGUUUUUGGCACAUAGAACGCGUACAUGUCUGGCUAAUUUUACACCUAAGUAUUCCUUUUACUUUGUAGCAAUUAUAAGUGGCAUUGCACUUUGUUUCCAUUUGUUCGUUGUUAGUAUGUAGAAAUGCAGUGGAUUUUUAUCUAUCGAUCUUGUAUCCACGACCUUGUUAAAUUCACUAAUUAGUUUAAGGAACUUUUCUUUCUUUUCUUUUCUUUUUUCUUUCUUUCUUUCUUCUUUUUGUAGAUGCCUCAGGACAUUCUCUGCAGGUGAUUAUGUCAUCUGCAAAUAGAGACUUUUCUUUUUUCUACAUUUAUGCCUUUUUCCCCUUGCCUUAUUACACUGUCUAGAAUUUUAAGUACUAUGUUGCAUAAAAAGAAUGAAAGAGGACCUUGGUGUCAGGUUCCUGGGGUCAGGGAACGCAGGCAGCCCUUCACCACCGAGGAUGGUGUUAGCCGUAGGGUUUUGUUGGUGCUAUUUGUGAGAUCUUUGGUUUUUCUGCACCUGUUGAUGUUGGUGUAUUAUACUGAUUGCUUUUUUGGAUAUGGAGCCACCUUACAUGAAAUAAGUCCCAGCUUACAUAAGUCUUGUUAUACAUUGUUGGAGUCAAUCUGCUAGUAUAUUUGAAAAUUUCUGUGUCUAAGUUCAUGAGAGAUAUUGGCCUGUAAACCCCUCUUUGUGAGCUGUUUUUGACUGGUUUUGUUUUGUUGGGGGAACACACCUCAUAAAGCCAGCUGGGAAAGGCUCCAUCUUCAUGUUCUGGAACAGACUGAGUGAAAUUGUGCUAAUGUCCUUUUAACGGUGAGUAAAAUUCUCCAUUGAAGUCACCUGGGCCCAGAGAUUUUUUCCCCCAGAACUUGUAGUUAUUCACUUUCUUUCUUCUCAGUUGAGUUUGGUAGUUUGUGGUUUUCAAAGAGGUGCCCACUUCUUCCAAGGUGGGGUCUCUGUUAGGGUGUGCUGUUCCUUUCUGUGGCCGUGGGGUGUGCAGGGACACACCUGGUGACAAUGGAACGGUUCUUCUCUCUUCAUCUUCAUGGUCCUGUUGUUAUAUUUCACUUUCAUUUGUCUUUGUGUAUUUUACAAACGUCUUUGGGGACUUCCUCAUGGGCUCAUGGGUUAUGUAGAAUGGUUCUGUUUAUGUUCACGUUCGAGGACUUUCCUGGGGUCCUGUUAUUCACUCCUGGUCAUUUCAUCACAGGAAGAGAACAUUCAUUCUGGUUGCAACCUCGAUUCUUCUGAGUUACUAAGGUCUCCUUGGUGACCCGGGAGGUGGUCUCUCGCGGCGAGUGCUCCACGUGAACCUGGAGGGAAAGCCUGGGUACCUCAGUGUGCUCCUAGCACUUAGAUGAAGCACUGAGACCUUGAGUGAGGCCACUACCCUGCCCACUCCUAAAACAGGGUUGUCUCAAACUUGCUUUGGACACAUUGAGUUGUCCCAUAUCACUUAAGAAACCGAGGAGUAAGGAAUCACUUAUAAUAUUUACACCCUCUCUUGCCCAUCUCAAAAUUCUGUCAUUUCUGGAAUUUCAAGAACACCCAUUUCUUUCUGCCUCCAUAGUUACACUUGAAGUGAGUUCCUGAUGGACAGCAUAUAAUUUAAUUUGCUCUGCCAGUCUCUGUGUUUUG
rnacentral:lncRNA from 1 species